rnacentral:rRNA from 1 species
CAGCCGUAAACUAUGCGCGUUAGGUGUAUCGGUAACCACGCGUUACUGAUGCGCCGAAGAGAAAUCGUGAAACGCACCACCUGGGAAGUACGGUCGCAAGGCUGAAACUUAAAGGAAUUGGCGGGGGAGCACCACAACAGGUGGAGCCUGCGGUUUAAUUGGACUCAACGCCGGGAAGCUCACCGGAUAGGACAGCAGAAUGAUUGCCGGGCUGAAGACCCUGCAUGACUAGCUGAGAGGAGGUGCAUGGCGUCAGUGACU